GGCCCUUCGGGGUACUCGAGCGGCGAACGGGUGAGUAACACGUGAGCAACCUGCCCUAGGCUUUGGGAUAACCCCGGGAAACCGGGGCUAAUACCGAAUAUGACCUGGCCUCGCAUGAGGCUUGGUGGAAAGUUUUUCGGCCUGGGAUGGGCUCGCGGCCUAUCAGCUUGUUGGUGGGGUGAUGGCCUACCAAGGCGACGACGGGUAGCCGGCCUGAGAGGGCGACCGGCCACACUGGGACUGAGACACGGCCCAGACUCCUACGGGAGGCAGCAGUGGGGAAUAUUGCACAAUGGGCGGAAGCCUGAUGCAGCGACGCCGCGUGAGGGAUGACGGCCUUCGGGUUGUAAACCUCUUUCAGCAGGGACGAAGCGUAAGUGACGGUACCUGCAGAAGAAGCGCCGGCCAACUACGUGCCAGCAGCCGCGGUAAGACGUAGGGCGCGAGCGUUGUCCGGAUUUAUUGGGCGUAAAGAGCUCGUAGGCGGCUUGUCGCGUCGACCGUGAAAACUUGGGGCUCAACCCCAAGCCUGCGGUCGAUACGGGCAGGCUAGAGUUCGGUAGGGGAGACUGGAAUUCCUGGUGUAGCGGUGAAAUGCGCAGAUAUCAGGAGGAACACCGGUGGCGAAGGCGGGUCUCUGGGCCGAUACUGACGCUGAGGAGCGAAAGCGU
rnacentral:rRNA from 1 species